rnacentral:lncRNA from 1 species
UCAAAGUUACUCGACAGGCGUCUAAGCGAACAGAAUCAGGAACACCACCAGCAGCGAGAACAGCGCAAUGGACUCGGUCAGGGCGAAGCCCAGCAGAGCGUAGCCGACCAGCUGCUUGGCAAUGUUGGGGUUGCGGGCAGCGCCGUUGAUGAGCGAGCCGAACAUCACGCCCAGACCUGCGUGCGUGCAUGCGACACACAGUAGUGAGCGUACACGUGAUACCGGUCCAGCUACAGGUAGCCCGAGCCACUCCGUGCGUCGCGGUGUGGGAAUGGCGUGCCGGUUGGGACAGGAGCCCACGCAGCGUGAACAGGCUAUCUGUGGCUGUGAACCCUAAACCGAAGCUGCGGUAGCUGCAUUUGUGUGGCGAACCCCGACAUCCUGUGUCUAACCCCAACCUACC